UACGAAGGGGGCUAGCGUUGCUCGGAAUUACUGGGCGUAAAGGGCGCGUAGGCGGUUCUAUAAGUCAGGCGUGAAAUUCCUGGGCUUAACCUGGGGGCUGCGCUUGAGACUGUGGGACUUGAGGUCAGAAGAGGGUCGUGGAAUUCCCAGUGUAGAGGUGAAAUUCGUAGAUAUUGGGAAGAACACCGGUGGCGAAGGCGGCGACCUGGUCUGAUACUGACGCUGAGGCGCGACAGCGUGGGGAGCAAACGAGG
rnacentral:rRNA from 1 species